rnacentral:rRNA from 1 species
UACGAAGGGGGCUAGCGUUGUUCGGAAUCACUGGGCGUAAAGCGCGUGUAGGCGGCCCGAUAAGUCCGCUGUGAAAGUCCAGGGCUCAACCCUGGGAUGCCGGUGGAUACUGUCGGGCUCGAGUCCGGAAGAGGCGAGUGGAAUUCCUGGUGUAGCGGUGAAAUGCGCAGAUAUCAGGAGGAACACCAAUGGCGAAGGCAGCUCGCUGGGACGUGACUGACGCUGAGACGCGAAAGCGUGGGGAGCAAACAGG